UCCAGACAGGAAUUCCAGGCUUGGACUGGAGUGAAGCCCUCAAGAUCCACAAAGGCAAAACCAGCCCGAGUCAUCACAACCCACACUUCGGGAUGGGACAGCAGCCCUGGGGCCGGCUUCCAGGUCCCAGAGGUGAGGAAGAAGUUCACUCCUAACCCCUCCGCCAUCUUUCAGGCCUCAGCUCCCCGGAUUCUCAACGUGUGACUGCCUGCACCGUGACACCGUGGCUGCUGACAGGAGAGGGCUGGGGAGCGGCCUCAGGACCCACUACCGUGGGGCUGGGCGAGAGCAUGGCAUGGGCCCCUCCAGGAGGGCACAGCCCCUCUCAAAGCUGUCACCAGGGCUGAGGUGCUGGUGCGGGGCAGAUGCACCGAUGGACUUGGCACACCCAGCUCAGCUCAGCCUCAAGCGUCCUCUUGAGAAGCCUGUGGAAGGCUCCCGCGUUCGUAACUGCCAUCUGGCCAUCUCUGGGUUUUGAAAUGAGAGGAGCCUGAGGAGCAAGUCAGUUGGGAACCGAAUUGGUCCAUGGAAGCUAAGCAAUGUGGACACAUCCAGUUAUGUCCACGUUUGGUGGAUUUCCCAGGAUGCAUGAGCACUUGAUUAAUUUUAUAACCUAUGGUGAGACCCUUGGCUCUUCCUACAAAUGGCCCCUGCAGUUGAAGCUGUAGGAAUCUUGGGCCAUCACCUGCAUGACUCAUGGUGAUGCUGAGUAUCCAGGAGGAAAUUUCUGGAAGAAACAGACCGUCAGUCACGGACUUCCACUUCACAGACCUCCUUAUGGCCAAGAUGAGCCUCAUGUUUUAACAAAACAUUUCUUGGGAUUGAAUGAAUCACAUUUACCUUGUGGUAGGUGUCUAAAGACUGAAUCUACAUUUUAUUACUAAUUAUUUCCCCCCCUAACAUAAGGAUGACGAGAAGGACACUACCGUACACACUGGCUAAGAACGGGGACUGUUUUUGGGAAGGUGGCAUUGUCUCAUUCCCUGAAAUACCUUAAAAUGUCAUCGACACCAACCCUUCCCCUUCUGUCUACCCUGCUCACAUGGACAGUGACAGGGAACUCACCACCUUUUGAAGAGGCAGUUCAUUUUCUUUGCAAAGCUCUCUCCUAACUUUCUCCGUAAAUUCCAGCCAGCAUGGCCACAUGGGUCACGCCUGGUCCCUUUGCACAGCAGCCCUUCACACAUUUGAAGGGUCUACAUCCCUUUUUAAAGCUUAGAGGCACAAGCUCAGGACAGUCUUCAGUAAGGAAAUUUGUGGAUUUCCCUUUGGAUCUUUCUUCCUCUCCGGCCCACAAGUGGCUCUAGUCUGACGAGCAUUUAAGCUGCAGAUGGUGGCACUCCACUCGGGUCUCAGAGCCACCAGACAUGCAGGUGGGACAGUGGUUCCAGCUCAGGCUGCCUGUCAGCGUCCCUUCCAGGUGCUAGCCCUGGCAGGCAUAGCCCUCCCCUCAUGCCAGCACAGGAAAUGCUCUUGGUGAGAGGCUCACUUUAAAGAAGUCCAAACCGUGUGCUUAUCCAAGGGGUUCUGCUAUUUCAGACUUCACGGCUUGCAUGUUUGAUUUUUCUAAGAGAAAAGAGGCUGCCUGCUGGGUGUCUGGGGAAAUGAGAUUAAACUGUACAAUCUCAGUUUUACUAAAAUGCAAAAAUGUACAGUUUCAAUUUCUUAAAUUGUAAACACGAGUUUUCUCAUGCUU